rnacentral:rRNA from 1 species
ACGAACGCUGGCGGCGUGCUUAACACAUGCCAGUCGCACGGAAAGGCCCUGCUUUUGUGGGGUGCUCGAGUGGCGAACGGGUGAGUAACACGUGAGUAACCUGCCCUUGACUUUGGGAUAACUUCAGGAAACUGGGGCUAAUACCGGAUAGGAGCUCCUGCUGCAUGGUGGGGGUUGGAAAGUUUCGGCGGUUGGGGAUGGACUCGCGGCUUAUCAGCUUGUUGGUGGGGUAGUGGCUUACCAAGGCUUUGACGGGUAGCCGGCCUGAGAGGGUGACCGGCCACAUUGGGACUGAGAUACGGCCCAGACUCCUACGGGAGGCAGCAGUGGGGAAUAUUGCACAAUGGGCGGAAGCCUGAUGCAGCAACGCCGCGUGCGGGAUGACGGCCUUCGGGCUGUAAACCGCUUUCGCCUGUGACGAAGCGUGAGUGACGGUAAUGGGUAAAGAAGCACCGGCUAACUACGUG